rnacentral:misc_RNA from 1 species
GAUGAAGAACGUAGCGAAAUGCGAUACUUGGUGUGAAUUGCAGAAUCCCGUGAACCAUCGAGUCUUUGAACGCAAGUUGCGCCUCAAGCCAUUAGGUUGAGGGCACGUCUGCCUGGGCGUCACAUAUCGUUGCCUGAUGCCAGUUUCCUCGUGAUGGGUGACUGUGCAGGGCGAAUGAUGACUUCCCGUGAGCAUUGUUGCCUCAUGGUUGGUUGAAAAUUGAGUCCUUGGUAGGGAGCGCCGUGAUAGAUGGUGGUUGAGUGACGAACGAGACCCAAUCAUGUGAGACCCCUACCGAAUUUGGCCUUCAUGACCCACAUGCGUCUUUGGAACGCUCAUGACGAGACCUCAGGUCAGGCGGGGCUACCCGCUGAGUUUAAGCAUAUCAAUAAGCGGAGGA